UAUUCAAAUUCUCCACCAAACCAUGAGAUAACAACAAAAAUUUAUAAAAGCUUCUAACAUCCACCAAUGCCACCAAUUGUAUUGUCCAGAAUCGUUGCAUUCUCACUGCUUGAAAUCAGAAGACAUGCCAAUAGAUAAUGCAUUAUUUUGCUGAAGAUGUUAUUAGAUCGGAAGAUAAAGUAGACAAAGGUUGUUUGGUCUUUAUUCAAGUGCUGAUAUCAACAGUGUAAACAUUUACAACUUUUUUUGCAACUGAAAAGGCGAUAAGUGUGCAUUUCUCUGUGUCAAUUCUUGAAUCGCGAUAAGUAUAUUUUUCUAUGAGUCAAGUGAAUUAAAUAAAUGUACUCACUAUCUGCUGAAAGAUGGUUUCCAUUCUUCCACUUGAAAUAAUCUGAAAAAUAAAAAGCUGUACAUAUUAAUAUAAAACAGCUCAACUUAAAGAUGAUCUGAUGAUGAUGAUGAUGAUGGCGAUGAUGAUAUAACACCAUCAUUCCACCAAUGAGCGUUGCUUAACGACACUUUGACAUCAUGUGCA